UACGAGGGGUGCAAGCGUUACUCGGAAUUACUAGGCGUAAAGCGUACGUAGGUGGUUCGUUAAGUCUGAUGUGAAAGCCCUGGGCUCAACCUGGGAAUUGCAUUGGAUACUGGCGAGCUAGAGUGCGGUAGAGGAUAGCGGAAUUCCCGGUGUAGCAGUGAAAUGCGUAGAGAUCGGGAGGAACAUCUGUGGCGAAGACGGCCAUCUGGACCAGCACUGACACCGAGGCACGAAAGCGUGGGGAGCAAACAGG
rnacentral:rRNA from 1 species